UUCUUUGAAAAUUAGGGCGAUGCGCACUAUAAUAAUAGGUGCAGGCUUGCCUGCUAUGACGCUAGUACGUGGCUGCGGAAUAAGCGUUCGUGGACCCCGGGGCAGUACCGGGCAGCUCCACCACUUAAGGGCUUUUGACUAUCAAGAUAUCUUAGGCGGCGGGGCUGAAACAGGAUCGACACACGUGGUAAAGGCUUCUCGCGGCGUUCGGCAAUCCGCCGUUACCGGAUAUUUUUGAUAGUUGCAAACGACAACUCUCAGUUCGUAGCCGCUAACGAUAACCUCGUUGGUGAUGUUCGCAUCGCUGCUUAAUUAAGCAGUAGCGAAGCUACAUUGAAUUCCUUGCCCGUAACACGGUAAGGUGGGGCCGGGCGGCGCCUCGCAACAGAAGCCGCCCAUU
rnacentral:tmRNA from 1 species